GAGGGUAUAGCUUAGUGGUAGAGUGCCUACCCAGCAUGCACAAGGUCCUGGGUUCAAUCCCCAGCACCUCCA
rnacentral:tRNA from 1 species